GCCUGGAUAGCUCAGCUGGUUAGAGCAUGGUGCUGAUAACGCCACGGUUGCAGGUUCGAUCCCUGUAUGGGACU